rnacentral:rRNA from 1 species
GACGUAGGGCGCGAGCGUUGUCCGGAUUUAUUGGGCGUAAAGAGCUCGUAGGCGGCUUGUCGCGUCGUCCGUGAAAACCUGCAGCUCAACUGCAGGCUUGCGGUCGAUACGGGCAGGCUGGAGUUCGGUAGGGGAGACUGGAAUUCCUGGUGUAGCGGUGAAAUGCGCAGAUAUCAGGAGGAACACCGGUGGCGAAGGCAGCUCUUUGGGACGGUACUGACGCUGAGACGCGAAAGCGUGGGGAGCGAACAGG